CAUCUUUUUUUUUUUUCUCCCCUUCUUUUUUGGCCGCCCUGUGGCAUGUGGAGUUCCCCAGCCAGCGAUCAGAUCUGAGUUAUAGUUGCGACCUAAGCCACAGCUGUGGCAACACUGGAUCCUUGACCCAUUGUGCCGGGCCGGGGAUUGAACCUGCGACUCAGUGCUCCCAAGACACUGCCAAUCCUGAUGCACCCCAGUGGGAACUCCCAUUCUGUGUGUCUUUUAAUCUCCUUAAGGCUGUUCCUGAUGAACCUGCAAGUCCACAGGAUUUUUAAAUGCAAUCCUGACGAGCUGUGUGACAGCCUCGUGGCAGGAGGGGGCGGCGAAACCCUCCUGUCCAGAGGAACUUAGCAUAGAUCUCCCACUGGGGACCAAUUAAUUCUGCAGGAAGUUAUGGUUUACAUUUUGUCCUGGAAACUCGGGCGCUGUGCACAUUCAUGCAUCUUGGCCCUGAGAGCAUCCUCCUUGCAAGUUUUGUUUAAUUGCAGUCAUGGUUGAAAACUCCCAGCGUUGUUUCCCCCUGAUUUCAUUAGUCAGUCCUUACCCACAUUUCAUCUGCUUUCUCUUAAACACUUUUUUGGGGGUCUGUGUUUAUAAACCCUGAGUAAACACAAAUCCUUGACUUUAAUUAGGAAGCCAGCAGCGGCCAGUAAAGGAGGCUCGUUCUGCGUAUUUCUCUCUCUCGUACUGUGGCUGUUGAAAGAGUACAUUGGUGUUCCCUGGUCUCUCAGUGGGUUAAGGAUCUGAUGUUGUUACUGCUGGGGUGCAGGUUCAAUCCCCGGCCGGGGAACUUCAUGCCACAGGAGUGGCUGAAAAAAAAAAAAAAGAAAAAGAAGAGUAAGUGAAGGCAGGGACCUCCCCAGUAGCUAGUUGACUGACCUCAGGGUGAAGAACCGUGUGGUCUUUCCACCUCCCAAGGUAUCAGGUGCCCUGAGUCAGCUUCAGUUACAGUGACCUUGCCUGUAAUAGAUCACUGGCCAUGACCUCUGAUUCAUUCAUUCAUUCAUUCACUGACCACAGGGGCAUCCCAUUUUAUAAUACUGUUUCCCCGUCAGACCUUAGAGGGCAGUGAUUUUUGCCUGUGUUCAUUCCUGCUUCUCUGCCCCUAGACUAGCACCUACUGUGGGUGUUCAUAAAUAUUUGCUUCAUGAAUCAAUCAGUACCCAUUAUUAGGGAUCUACUUCUCAGUUUUAAUCACAGGCUCCGGCCUCCUUGUAUCUUUAAAAAAAUGUCUCGGGAGGGUUUAGAAGACAUGAGGUGCCAAUGGGAACUUGAUCAGAGGAAGGUGGAUGGAGCUCUGUGGGCCCUGGAGAGAUGGUGAGCCAGAAGCUGGCCAGGGUGUCGAGUGCAUAUGGAGAUUGGUGCGAAGAGAUCGGGGUUAGAGGCACAGCUAGUUAUACAAGCAAGGACGUCUUGGGCAGGUCACCUGAGCUCCUUGCUUGCCCUGUCCCCUCAGUUUCCAUUUCCCUGAUGGCCGCUCUGCCCUCCUGGUGGUUCCCGUGGGUACCUCCUCAAGGCAUUCAUCUGAUCCCGCUGUGUCAGGCACCACGCUGGGCUCUGAGGUACAGCGGUGUAGGAGGUAGCGGAUUCCCUUUUCCAUCUAAGCCAGGGGAGUUAGAUGGAGGGCCAGACAGUGAUGAUACAGGGAGCUGGGGUGGGGGGACAUGCUGGGGUGGGUGACAUGGAACCCAGCCUGAGAAAUCAAGGAGGGCUUCCCAGAGGAAGUGGCAUCCAGGAGGGUAGAGAGGGGCUGCAUCUUCCUACUUUUUGGAUUCCUAGCUUUCGGCAGAGCACGUGUAGCAGGUGUUCGGGGAAUGCAUGGUGACCGAGAGAAUGCGUGUAACAGUGUUUUUAUAAACCAGAAAGUGUAGGAUGAGUGGCAGGUGUUAGGAUUAUGAUUUGUGGACGGUAGAGGAGGGACAAACUUUAUCUCCCACUUUCCUGAGGACCAGCUGUUGCCAGGAGCUAGGGUCUGCCUAAGGGCACAGAUAGCCCUGUGACAUGUCUGUCUCUGCCUUUUGUCCCCACCCCAACCUCACCCCUGCUCGGGGAAGGGGACUGCCCAGAGCUGGUUAUUUUAAACCAACUCAGAAGCCAGCAGCCCCUCCUAACGGGAUGCAGAUUUGGACAUUCUGACUUUGUGCUCAGGACCACGGUCCUAAGGCUGGUGGCAGACUAAGGAGGUAGCUCAUCGUGUGUGUGUUGUGUAAACGGAGUGAGGCCCCACAAUUGCUAAGAAAGCUCUGCAGCUCAUAUUGAAA
rnacentral:lncRNA from 1 species